UUACGGUCAUAUUACGUUGAAACACCGGUUCUCGCACGAUCACCAAAGUUAAGCAACGUUGAACGUGAAUCAAUAUCUAGAUGGGUGACCCCUUGGAAAUACUAGGUGUUGUAAG